rnacentral:rRNA from 1 species
AUACGGAGGAUGCAAGCGUUAUCCGGAUUUAUUGGGUUUAAAGGGUGCGUAGGCGGUUUGCUAAGCGGGAGGUGAAAUGCCGGCGCUCAACGUCGGAAGUGCCUCCCGAACUGGUGGACUUGAAUGACUCUGCCGUGGGAGGAAUGUGUAGUGUAGCGGUGAAAUGCUUAGAGAUUACACAGAACACCGAUUGCGAAGGCAUCUCACGAAGGGUUGAUUGACGCUGAGGCACGAAAGCGUGGGGAUCAGACAGGAUUAGAUACCCUGGUAGUCCACGCAGUAAACGAUGAUGGCUAACCGCUGGGCUUAUCAGUUCAGUGGCCAAGCGAAAGCGAUAAGCCAUCCACCUGGGGAGUACGACCGCAAGGUUGAAACUCAAAUGAAUUGACGGGG